ACCUGCUGACGAGUCCCAAAUAGGACGAAACACACAUCCUAGAU
rnacentral:hammerhead_ribozyme from 1 species